rnacentral:tRNA from 1 species
GGGCCUAUAGCUCAGCUGGUUAGAGCACCUGACUCAUAAUCAGGUGGUCCCAGGUUCAAGUCCUGGUGGGCCCA